CUGUUGCUAGAUCAGAGUAGAGGGCACUUCCUGAGGGCGUGACGCCAGUGGCUUCUCACUCACUCCACAGUAGACUCCACAGAGCCCUGUCCCAGUGUUGAGAGUCACAGUCUUGGGACAGGCAAAUUUUAACUUGCUCUGCUCUCAGGACGUCCCUUUUCUUCUCAGCAGUAUAGAGGAAACAAACAAACAAAGCAAAAACAUCUAUUCAUCUGGAUUUUAUUCAUUUGUUUUAAAUACAAACAAAAGGAGAGAGGAGACAUGGUUAUUUCUGCAGCAACUAUUUCAAAUGCAACUUAUUCCAUCGCUCCAGGUGUUCCAAUGGUGUUUGUCACCGUAAGACCCACGGGGCUAGUUCCAACCAUUAUACUGAGAUUAUGGAGCUGUGGAAAGAUCAUGGGCCUGCUGGUUGGAUUUAGGAGCAGGUGUUCAUUGGAAGGACUGAUGCUAAAGCUGAAACUCCAAUACUUUGGCCACCUCAUGCAAAGAGUUGACUCAUUGGAAAAGACCCUGAUGCUGGGAGGGACUGGGGGCAGGAGAGAAGGGGACGACAGAGGAUGAGAUGGCUGGAUGGCAUCACCGACUCGACGGACAUGAGUUUGAGUAAACUCUGGGAGUUGGUGAUGGACAGGGAGGCCUAGCGUGUUGCAGUUCAUGGGGUCGCAAAGAGUUGGACACGACUGAGCGACUGAACUGACUGACGGCCUCCUGCAACUACCGGAGGGGUCUGGACCAGAUGAUCCAAUAACCUAUGUUGAAAUUCUUGGUCCAAGACUAUGAACCCCAUUGUAUGGGGCAUGGAUCUCCACGGGAAAGUGGUGGAGGGAAGAUCCAAGUACUGGGCCUGAGUAACUAAAGCUUUAAGAAUAUGCUGAAAAGUUAAAAUGAUUUAUUUGCUUAACAAAUGAGUCAAGUGUUUUGUAUCUCCAAUUUCUGUGUCUGAGGUUUGGUUUGGCGAGAGCUGAAAUCCAAGGGAUCACUGAAAGUAACAUGGUCAGAAAGUGGCAGGUCUAUAAAAUAGGCUGAAAAUGGUACCUUGGACAUCUUUGUGAUGGAAAAGACUCCUCUCUCAGGAGAAGACAUAAGACUGAC
rnacentral:lncRNA from 1 species